UGGGUCCCAGGGUCCACCUUCAUGUUCCACCAAUGAGUUUGUUCACAGGGGGUGGUGUAGGGGAUGUCCUGAUAUGUGUGUAAGGAAUGCAUUGUGUGAAUCUGUGUUUGUAUGUGUAAGGGCUGCAAGGUGUGUUUCUGUGUAUGUACAGGAUACAGUGUGUGCGUUUGUAAGGGGUGCAUUGAGUGUGUGUAAGGGGUGCAUUGAGUGUGUGUAAGGAAUGCAUUGUGUGUUUCUGUGUGUGUAAGGGAUGCAUUGUGUGUAAGG